rfam:Colletotrichum tofieldiae strain 0861 Ct_v4_contig190, whole genome shotgun sequence.
GGCUGUGUGUUCUAGUGGAUUAUGAUUUCUCGUUCACAAGUAUGUGCACUUGAUCCCGAGAAGGUCGCAGGUUCGAGCCCUGCCACGGUCA